GCGGUUUAAUCGGACUCAACGCCGGGAAACUCACCAGAUAAGACAGCUGAAUGAUAGUCGGGCUGAAGACUCUACUUGACUAGCUGAGAGGAGGUGCAUGGCCGUCGUCAGUUCGUACUGUGAAGCAUCCUGUUAAGUCAGGCAACGAGCGAGACCCACGCCAACAGUUGCCAGCUCGUCCUCCGGGAUGGUGGGGACACUGUUGGGACCGCCUCUGCUAAAGAGGAAGGAAGGAAUGGGCAACGGUAGGUCAGCAUGCCCCGAAUUAUCUGGGCUACACGCGGGCUACAAUGGGUGGGACAAUGGGUAUCGACACCGAAAGGUGAAGGCAAUCUCCUAAACCCAUCCGUAGUUCGGAUUGUGGGCUGCAACUCGCCCACAUGAAGCUGGAAUCUGUAGUAAUCGUGUCUCAAAAUGGCACGGUGAAUAUGUCCCUGCUCCUU
rnacentral:rRNA from 1 species